rnacentral:rRNA from 1 species
GAUGAACGCUGGCGGCGUGCCUAACACAUGCCAGUCGAGCGAACAGACGAGGAGCUUGCUCCGCUGACGUUAGCGGCGGACGGGUGAGUAACACGUGUAUAACCUACCUAUCAGACGGGGAUAACUUCGGGAAACCGGAGCUAAUACCGUAUAAUAUAUUGAACCGCAUGGUUCAAUAGUGAAAUACGGUUUUUCUGUCACUUAUAGAUGGUUCCGCGCCGCAUUAGCUAGUUGGUACGGUAACGGCUUACCAAGGCGACGAUGCGUAGCCGACCUGAGAGGGUGGUCGGCCGCACUGGAAGGGAGACAGGGUCCAGACUCCUACGGGAGGCCGCAGUAGGGAAUCUUAGGCAAUGGGCGAGAGCUUGACGGAGCAACGCGGCGUGAGUGAUGAAGGUCUUCGGAUCGUAAAACUCUGUUAUUAGGGAAGAACAAAUGUGUAAGUAACUAUGCACGUCUUGACGGUACCUAAUCAGAAAGCCACGGCUAACUACGUG